rnacentral:tRNA from 8 species
GCCCGAGUGGCGGAAUGGUAGACGCAGCGGAUUCAAAAUCCGUCGCCGCAAGGCAUGUCGGUUCGAGUCCGACCUUGGGCACCA